rnacentral:rRNA from 1 species
CCUGAACGCUGGCGGCGUGGCUAAGACAUGCAAGUCGUACGGAUGUAGCAAUACAUCAGUGGCGAACGGGAGAGUAAUGAAUCGCUAAUGUGCCCCGGACUCUGGGAUAGCUAGCCGAAAGGUUAGGUAAUACCAGAUGAUAUACCUUUAUCGCAUGAUAGAGGUCUCAAAGGUCCGCCGGUCUGGGAGCAGGCGAUUUCGUAUCAGCUAGUUGGUGAGGUAACGGCUCACCAAGGCGACGACGCGUAGCCGGACUGAGAGGUUGGCCGGCCUCAUUGGGACUGAGACACGGCCCAGACUCCUACGGGAGGCAGCAGUGGGGAAUAUUGGACAAUGGGCGCAAGCCUGAUCCAGCAAUGCCGCGUGAGUGAGGAAGGCCUUAGGGUUGUAAAGCUCUUUCACCCGCGACGAUGAUGACGGUAGCGGGAGAAG